rnacentral:rRNA from 1 species
UUUUCUUGUUAGUUUUUGAAGUAUGGCCUGCCCGCUGAUUGAAGGGCCGCGGUAUUUUGACCGUGCAAAGGUAGCAUAAUCAUUAGUUCUUUAAUUGUGAUCUGGUAUGAAUGGCUUGACGAGACAUAAGCUGUCUUUUUGAAUUUGGUCUUUGAGUUAAAAUUCUUAGAUGUUUUUAUGGGACGAGAAGACCCUAUAGAGUUUAACAUUUAUUUUUUGUUUGUUUCCUUUUUUAGAGUGUUUUGUUGGGGUGAUGGGAGGAAUUAUUUUAACUCCUCUUUGUUUAUAUAUUAUUUAUAUUAUUUUGAUCCAUUUAUUUUGAUUAUAAGAUUAAAUUACCUUAGGGAUAACAGCGUUAUCUUCCUUGAGAGUUCUUAUUGGCAGGGGGGUUUGCGACCUCGAUGUUGGAUUAAGGUGAAUUUUCGGUGCAGGAGCUGAAUUGAUUAGGUCUGUUCGACCUUUAAAACCUU